rnacentral:rRNA from 1 species
AUUGAACGCUGGCGGCAGGCCUAACACAUGCAAGUCGAACGAGCGGCGGACGGGUGAGUAAUGUCUGGGGAACUGCCUGAUGGAGGGGGAUAACUACUGGAAACGGUAGCUAAUACCGCAUACCAUCAGAUGCCCCCAGAUGGGAUUAGCUAGUAGGUGGGGUAACGGCUCACCUAGGCGACGAUCCCUAGCUGGUCUGAGAGGAUGACCAGCAACACUGGAACUAAGACACGGUCCAGACUCCUACGGGAGGCAGCAGUGGGGAAUAUUGCACAAUGGGCGCAAGCCUGAUGCAGCCAUGCCGCGUGUAUGAAGAAGGCCGUCGGGUUGUAAAGCACUUUCAGCGGGGAGGCGUUACCCGCAGAAGAAGAACCGGCUAACUCCGUGCCAGCAGCCGCGGUAAUAC